CAGUAGCCGCGGGAAUACGAAGGGGGCUAGCGUUACUCGGAAUUACUGGGCGUAAAGGGCGCGUAGGCGGCACGAUUAGUCAGGCGUGAAAUUCCUGGGCUCAACCUGGGGACUGCGCUUGAUACGGUCGAGCUAGAGGAUGGAAGAGGGUUGUGGAAUUCCCAGUGUAGAGGUGAAAUUCGUAGAUAUUGGGAAGAACACCGGUGGCGAAGGCGGCAACCUGGUCCAUUACUGACGCUGAGGCGCGACAGCGUGGGGAGCAAACAGGAUUAGAUACCCCUGUAGUCCCUGUCUCUUAUAC
rnacentral:rRNA from 1 species